GUGCUCGAUUUGGCAGCACAUAUACUAAAAUUGGAACGAUACAGAGAUUAGCACGGCCCCUGCGGAAAGGAUGACACACAAAUUUGUGAGGUGUUCCAUAUUUUU
ensembl:snRNA U6 U6 spliceosomal RNA